UACGUAGGGUGCGAGCGUUAAUCGGAAUUACUGGGCGUAAAGCGUGCGCAGGCGGUUCGUUGUGUCCGUCGUGAAAGCCCCGGGCUUAACCUGGGAACUGCGAUGGAAACUAGCGAGCUGGAGUGUGGCAGAGGGGGGUGGAAUUCCACGUGUAGCAGUGAAAUGCGUAGAGAUGUGGAGGAACACCGAUGGCGAAGGCAGCCCCCUGGGCUAACACUGACGCUCAUGCACGAAAGCGUGGGGAGCAAACAGG
rnacentral:rRNA from 1 species